CCCUAAACGGGAUUUUUAGAGCCCUGAACCCGUUUCCCUCGCUGGAGGCUUCUCCCAAGCUUCCCACGUUGGCUAAGGAUGGAGGGAUGGACGGGCGUCCUCUGCAUCAAUCUGGGUGCGCUGAGUUCAAGUCGCUCCUCCUCGUCCCAUGUGCAACCCACGCGCUCCUCACCCGGCACGUCUGAACUGGAAGCUGCGUCCCGUUUGACAGGUCCCUUGGGUCGCAGCCCGAGGCGCCUUCCCUCGCUGGCACCCGGAGGUGGAGAGGAACUGAGUCAGGCUGGGAUGGCUGAGGCACGCCACGGGUUUCAGACAAGACCAGGGCGGGAUUCAGGUUUGAUGAGGCCCUAAGCUACUGAAGGUAAUAGAGCCCUUUAUAUGUCUAGCAGUCCUUUUGUCAACAACAAAUUGUUGCUUUUUUGUGUUGAAUAUAUGCUAUAUGGUAAUUUAUGAUUCUAAUAGGUAUCUAAAGCCAUUUGCACGUAACAAAAUACAUAUUUCAUCAAAGCUUGCUUUUUAUCUUACAUUUUGGAAAUGUACAUCAAGUAUUUUUUCCCUUUAAAUUUUUUUUUGGGGGGGGCAAGAGAGUGGGGCCCUAAGCUACAGCUUGUUUAACUUAUACGUAAAUCUGGCACUGGACAAGACAGAGGGGUUGGGCAACACAAGCUCACUGUUCGAGGAAAGUGCUUUAUCUGCAGUCAAGUCCAUUGAUCCAUCAAGAUUAGUAUCACCGACCCUGGCUGGCAACGGCCCUCUAGGGUAAGGUUGCCAGAUUUUUUUCAAUGAAUUCGGGGACACUUUUAAACUUGGAUUUUGUAUGGGGACUGAUGUGUAAAUCCGGGGACUGUCCCCAGGAAACGGGGACGUCUGGCAACAUUACUCUAGGGUUUCAGCCAGGGACAUGCCCUACCAGAAGAUGCCAAGAUUCGAACCUGGGGCUUUCUGCAGGAAUGGUGGAUGCUGCUGCAGUAAGGCCCUUCCCCCAGGCAGAUGCGCUCAAUAAGAGGUCCUUCUUGCAGUUGUGGGAAUCAGAAAUGGUGCUGUUACAACUGGUCCUGUGUGGCCAAGUUCGCACAAGGUGACGUUCAAUCAGGGCUUCUUUUUUUCAGCUGGAGCUCAGCUCCAGCUCCAAGUUCACAGUGAGCUCCAUCACAUCUUUUUCUAGAAAAAAAACCACUGGGGGCAACUUGUUCCUGGAUGCAGCUGUUUAGACAACACGAAGGGGAUAACUGUACUUUUCUCAAAAGAGAACAUCUCCCAGCAUGUGUAAAGCAAGCAAACAUAGCAGAGGCCACUCUAGAAUUGUUCACUGUAAUAUAAGGGCCAUUAAAUUCAGCAUUCUGUUCUCACCAAGUAGGGCUUCAUAAAAAAAUAAAGUGCAACAGGAUUGCUCCAGCUAUGUAUAUGGGGGAGUGGUUUCAAACAGUUUCCCAGAUUCUUACAUUGCAAGCAACCACACCUCUGUUACUUCCGCUGUGAAUCAGGCAUAAACUCACUACAAAAUGAAAGGGUAGUUAAAAAGGGCAUUAACCAACAUCCACUCAUCUCUGCAGCUUUCAACACUGAAAUUUCAUCUGAGAAGAGCAGAUAGAAAGAGCAACCAGAAUAUGACAUGCAGAUUUGGAACUAGCAUAAGUCUAGCCUCCAUUCACCUCUAACUAAUAACUUACUAUAUUUUGGGGUUGCCUGUUCUCUAAGAAUGUG
rnacentral:lncRNA from 1 species